UACGGAGGGGGCUAGCGUUGUUCGGAAUCACUGGGCGUAAAGCGCACGUAGGCGGCUAUUUAAGUCAGAGGUGAAAGCCUGGAGCUUAACUCCAGAACUGCCUUUGAAACUAGAUGGCUUGAACAUGGGAGAGGUAAGUGGAAUUCCGAGUGUAGAGGUGAAAUUCGUAGAUAUUCGGAAGAACACCAGUGGCGAAGGCGGCUUACUGGACCAUUGUUGACGCUGAGGUGCGAAAGCGUGGGGAGCAAACAGG
rnacentral:rRNA from 1 species